rnacentral:rRNA from 1 species
UAGAGUUUGAUCCUGGCUCAGAUUGAACGCUGGCGGCAGGCCUAACACAUGCAAGUCGAGCGGAUGAGAGGAGCUUGCUCCUUGAUUUAGCGGCGGACGGGUGAGUAAUGCCUAGGAAUCUGCCUGGUAGUGGGGGAUAACGUCCGGAAACGGGCGCUAAUACCGCAUACGUCCUACGGGAGAAAGCAGGGGACCUUCGGGCCUUGCGCUAUCAGAUGAGCCUAGGUCGGAUUAGCUAGCUGGUGAGGUAAUGGCUCACCAAGGCGACGAUCCGUAACUGGUCUGAGAGGAUGAUCAGUCACACUGGAACUGAGACACGGUCCAGACUCCUACGGGAGGCAGCAGUGGGGAAUCUUGCACAAUGGGCGAAAGCCUGAUGCAGCCAUGCCGCGUGAAUGAUGAAGGCCUUAGGGUUGUAAAAUUCUUUCGUCAGGGAUGAUAAUGACCGUACCUGAAGAAGAAGCACCGGCCAACUACGUGCCAGCAGCCGCGGUA